ensembl:lncRNA novel transcript
UCUCCCUCUCCCCCUCUCUCUCCCUCUCCCUCUCUUUCGCUUGAAUUUGUCCUACAUUUCGUAAUGUUACGUGCCUGCCAUCCUUAUCCUAUGCCAGAGGUACAACACCAGUCUCACCCCCAUUCCGGCGUGGAGUUCUCUGAGUUCGGUGGCACUUGGGAUAUUCCACUUCAGUGCCAUGGGAAGAAAAUGGUAAGCAAAAAGCAAAAGGAAUAAUGCAAAAAAAAAAAAAAAAUUAUAAUGUUGUGGUAUCCAAUUGCUCCUGCUUCAGCCUUUUAUCCAAAGCCUUGAGAUGGAUCUGCCUCAUCCAGGAAGUUUUCCUGCUUCGUUAGAGUAUCUUCGUUUUCUUUAUCAGACGCUGGCUGGCACUCCACGCCAGUGCACGGCUCCAUGGAAUGCCUGCUGUUGGACACUUGCAGAGCUCUGCCACCAAGCAACCUCCUGCAUUGGAAAUCGGGGGACUACUCCAGGAUCUUAUGCGUGCUUGCUGUUUGAAGCUGCAGAAAAGUGAAUAAUCAAUUAAGUAUUGAUUUCUUGUAAGAUUUGGUAAAUUUCAAAGGCAAGACAAAGAGGAUGGCUUAAGGAAACACUGCAGGGACUUGGCGUAAAUUAGACAACUAACGGAAGCGCAGAAUAAAAUAACACCUCAACUGAAGAUUUCCUUGGAAGAAUUAGCACUAGCUAUUGGAAGACAAUGGUGGAUUUAAUCAAAACAGCAGGCAUGCAAGAAUUUUACCCGUGAACCAGAAAAAGGAGCUAAUUAUAACCACCUUUUUAAUGGAGCUAAUUUGACUGAAUGGAUGCAAAUGUGCUUUAUUUAUGGAUGAAGAAGCAAGCCUUACUGCAUGAUCUUGGGAUCAUCGGAUCUGCUAAGCUUUGCAGCUCCUGUUACCUUCAGUACAUUUUUUAUUUCCGGAGAAGGUAUUUGUAUGUAAACAACAACUAACCAUGCAAAAGAUUCAUCGGAACAAUAUACUGUGGUAUAUGAGAUAUAAUCAUAAUUUUGCAGCCUCUCAGGAUUUCCUCUAACUUGGAGGUUUUGCAACCUUUGUGUGCAAUGGGUUAUGGUAAACAAUAAAUGAAUGAUGCUAAAG